rnacentral:rRNA from 1 species
CCUACGGGUGGCAGCAGUGAGGAAUAUUGGUCAAUGGGCGCGAGCCUGAACCAGCCAAGUCGCGUGAGGGAGGACGGCCCUACGGGUUGUAACCCUCUUUUGCCGGGGAGCAAAGGGCGCCACGUGUGGCGUCACUGAGAGUACCCGGAGUAAAAGCAUCGGCUAACUCCGUGCCAGCAGCCGCGGUAAUACGGAGGAUGCGCGCGUUAUCCGGAUUUAUUGGGUUUAAGGGGUGCGUAGGCGGUUCGUUUAGUCAGUGGUCAAAUUGAGGGGCGCAACCCCGUCCCGCCAUUGAUACUGGCGUUCUUGAGUGGAAGAGAGGUAUGCGGAAUGCGAGGUGAAGCGGUGAAAUGCAUAGAUAUCACGAAGAACCCCGAUUGCGAAGGCAGCAUGCCGGCUUCCGACUGACGCUGAAGCACGAAAGCGUGGGGAUCGAACAGGAUUAGAUACCCCUGUAGUC